UUUCCGUAGGUGAACCUGCGGAAGGAUCAUUAUUGUAUAACCGAGGUGCGAGGGCUGUCGCUGACCCGAAAGGUCGUGCACGCCCGAGUGCCCUGACACACCUCCAUCUCACCCCUAUGUGCACCACCGCGUGGGUCCCCCUUUGGCUUGUUCGGAGGGGGGCUUACGUUUUCACACAAACUUUGUAUGCAGUGUAGAAUGUAUUUUUUGUUUUUUCGGUCACGCAAUCAAUACAACUUUCAACAACGGAUCUCUUGGCUCUC
rnacentral:misc_RNA from 1 species